rnacentral:rRNA from 2 species
CAAACGACUCUCGGCAACGGAUAUCUCGGCUCACGCAUCGAUGAAGAACGUAGCAAAAUGCGAUACUUGGUGUGAAUUGCAGAAUCCCGUGAACCAUCGAGUUUUUGAACGCAAGUUGCGCCCGAAGCCAUUCGGUUGAGGGCACGUCUGCCUGGGCGUCACGCA